rfam:Stegodyphus mimosarum contig13747, whole genome shotgun sequence.
ACCUUUGUGGUGUAGUGGUCAACAAUUUGGGCGCUUAUUCCAGAGACCCGUGGUUCGAUUCCCGGCGAAGGCG